UAGGACGGGAGUCUGUGAACUGUUUGUAGA
rnacentral:piRNA from 1 species